AUAAGCCGUAUUCUUACUAUUUUUACAGUGACACUUAGCGGAGACAGUGUGAGCGAAAUUAUUAAAAAAAAGUGCUAAUUGCAAGCCAUGGUGAAAUUUGUGAAGAAUUUUUUGCGAAAAAAUAAUAAUCUUGAAAAAGAAACUUGUGUCACAUUUAACUUAUAAGUGAUGGAAAUAAUAAUGAAAUAUAUAAAAAUAUAAAAAAAUAUAUUUUUUUUUAUUAAAAGUGUUGUGUGUGACAAGAAUAUUUAUAAAUGAUGCCAUUGCUAAAUGCAAAUAUUGAGGUUUCUGAAGUUCCAAGCCGACUAAAAAAAUUAAAAAUUUAUUAUCAUUAUUGGGCUCCCAAAAGAACAAUAUUAAAUAUCUAUUUAAAAAUAAUUGAAUGUAAAGGACUGUGAAUAACCCUAACGUGUUGUGCAACGCAUUAAACCUAUUUUCUUAGAAAAAUAUUAUAAAAUAAUUAUAAAGAUAACGAAAAAUAAUUGAAAACCGUUUUAAUAUGAAUAUAUUAUUAUUUCUAAAGUCAGUUAUUUCUAAGCUAAGAAGCAAAUCUAUACUUUUGAAAUUGCAUUUCACGGUAACUCGUUUUACGAGUGAUAAAGUUGAAGAAAAAAAUAAUCUUUACCAGAGUACAAUUUUCUGUUUUUUUUACAUGAAAAUAAAUAUUCAAAUCAGUACAAAAUCUCAAUUUGAAGCACAAAUUAAACUAAACUGGCUAUGUGAAUACCCUAAAUGUAUAUAAAUUCACAAUUUGAGGUGCAAAAUAGCAAAGAAAUUGCUUUCAAGAAUACCCUACAUGAGUGUAAAACCACUUUUCGAAGAUAUAUACGAAACUAAUUUGUUUAGUGAACACAGUUUUUGAAGUUUUGUGUUUUAAAACGUUUUCAUAUGGCAACAAAAAUGCCUCUAUUUACAAGUUAUAGAGUCAAACCUACACUUUGAAGUGUAAAAAUAUAAAAUAUCGCUUAUGAAUCCUCUUUAAGUUAAAAAAAAAAAAAAACAUUUUACAAUGAAUGAAAGUUCUUAAAAAUCAAAAUCAAAAUUGCAGCUAUUUUUUUCAAAAAUUGGUAUUUUUGAAUGCCCCUCUGAAAUCGUAAUGAAUCACUUAGUUAUGUAAAAUAUACGAAAAUUUGGACUGUCUGAAAGAUAUGUAUUGAUAAUCUCAUACGUGUAACUGACAAAUAUUUGCUUGCUUUUAUGAAGUGAAUACCCCCAUUGGAAGAAUGGACUUUACAAAAAUAUUUCAUUUUAUUUUAUUUAAAGUAAAAAAGAGGAAAUAUGAAAUUGAAACAGAAAGCAAGCACUUAGAACAGCUCUAAAACUGCUACAAACAAAAUAUACAUAGUAGUGAUGUUAAAUAUUUCUCAAAAAUUUAUUUUUAAAGAGCUGGCAUUUAGUAAAAAUGCAAAUUUCAUACUAAAUUCCACAAUGAAAGUUUGGGUCAGCUGAAGAAGUUAAUAAGUUAAUAAGUUUAAAUAAAGUUUUAAACGUUCUUUGUGAAAUAUUUUUGUUCUAAAAUAGUUUGUUUUCACAGUUGACAUCCCAAGUUAUUUCCAUACUCCUGUGAAUACCCAAACUGAGUUAUUAUAAAUCUCUUUUUGGAUUAUUUCCUAAUGAGAUUCUAAAUAUAUGUUUAUUGGCUCAAAUUGUUUAAAAGACACAUUUAGUUAUACUAUUUGUGCCGUAAAGGUACCUCAACUUGCUGUUUUGAAAUAUUUUUCAAUAUUCACACAUCGAUAUUUUGAAAUAUUUCUAAACAGCAACAACAUUUUUGGUCUAAUUAUGUAUAUUGAAUUAACAAUUACUUCAACCACAGUGUGAACACCCCGAAUAAGCUCUUUUUUACCUUUUCUAUAUUUUGAAAAAUUCUACUUUCAAAUAAUUUCAAAAACUGACUUAUCUGACAAACAACUCUCAGUAUAUUUUUCUUACCGAGUAUAACAGAACUAAAUAUAUUUUUUAUAGAAAUAAUAAUUUCAACAUUUUCCGCUUUCUUCGCGACUUCCGAGUGUUUAACAUAUUGCAACCAAGUCUGCAAAACAAAUUGUGAAACAAAGCAAAAACAACAACAAAGUUGUGAAAAGUGCAAUCGGAAAUGUUAAACAGCCAUUUUGAGUUGAACAAAGCGCAUUUUGCAUUUAAAAGCGUUUUCUAGGCAAGUCAGCAUUUGCAGUGAAAUUGUAAAAUUGUGAAAAAAUAUUUCACAGAAAGCAAUAUACAUACUUAGGACCAAAGAAUUUUUCAACUUUACACUUUCGGUUGUUCAACCGUUAAACAAACAAAAAAUAACAAAGAGAAAUAAAUUUAAAAUUCUACAAAACUGGAUUCCGCCAUCGUGGAUACAAUCAGCCAUUUGAAAAUGGUCUUUGGUGGCCGUUUUCGCAUCAGAAGGUAAUUUGAUAAAUACUAUAAAAUAGAUGGAUAAUAUUAUAAAGGUAUUUAGUAUUAAAUAAAGAAAAUAAAAAACAUUUUUUAUAAAAAUAAUCAAGAUUGAUAUUAAAUUUUGAGUAAAAAUAUAUUAAAAAGUUUGAAAUUUUGAAAAAAAUUCAACGAAAGUUGCGCUUUUAUUACCUUAGUUGAAGAUAGCGCCACCUAUCGGCAUUUUUGAGUAGGAAAAAGUUAACAUAAUUAAUAAACUAAUUUAGAAAACAUUCUAUUAAUAAUUUUUGGUACAUAAAAUAAUGAAUGCAAGAGAAAGCUUGAUUUAUUAUUAAGUUCAAAUCACAAUUAAAUAAAGAAUUGCCCUUAUUGAGGUAAGAAAAUAACUCCAAAACUUUCGAUAAAGUUUGUAAAAAUGUUUUUCUAUCUUCUGUGAGAAAUUCCGAAGUUUAGCCCACCAUCUUGAAAUAAAAAAAAUUUCUGGAAUAAGCACUAUAAAGAAAUGCUAAAGAAAGCAAGAGCGCAAUGGCUCUAAAAAAAUUACGUGAAGUCUUGAAGGAGAUAGCUUCCAAAUAUCUUAAUGUUGCUAAGUUUUAAUUAAAUUGUCUAAUUUUCUAAUCAGCUUAACAUCAAUUAAUGUUAUGACCUAUUUUUUGACAGCUGAUCACUUAAAGUUCGGAACAUCUAAUCCCAGAAUUGCUUAAUUUGAAAUAAAAGUAAAAAAAUGUCAUUAUCAUCACUCAAUCUAUUCGCAUGCCUUUACAAAGUCAACCUAAAAUACAACUAUUGAUUGUCAACUAUUUACUGUCAAAAAUUGCAGUCAAUUAGUUCAUUAACAAUUUUGACAGCUGUCAAAUAGCAGUGUGUGGCUUAAAAUAGCAAAAUCAGUGAAUGUCAUUGCAUAGCUGUCACAUAACUGUCAAAAAGCAGUUGUAACGCACUGUCUAGAGGAAGUUAUGCAAUGACAUAUUUCGAGUGAAUUUCAGUUAAGGUGAAAGGUGAUUUGUUUUCGGUGAUUAUUGGGUGAUAUAAUACAUUUUUUGUUUAUUGCAAUUUUGAGAUUAGGCUGAUUAUUUAAGUUUAUACAAUUUUAUUAGAUUUAAAUUUAAAAUUUUUAAUAAUAGAAUGCAUAAUUUAUUAUAAAGCUAAGGUGUUCAAAUUUUGAGGUAAAGUUGAAUUUUCAAUUUAUUAAUUUUAAUUAUUUAUUUUUCUUUAAAAAUCAUAAUUAAUAUUUUUAUACAAAUAGAAGAAAUAUUAAAAAGAAAACAUAUAUAAUAAUCUAUUGCAAAAAUGCAAUAAAAGAAGUAUAAAAUCCACUUCAAUUGCAAUGAGAUUACAUUUUCAAACCCUAAAAAUCAACUAGCAACAAUAAUAGUCAACCGCUACCGGUUUUGCCGCAAAUCCAAAACAUAAAAAAUAUUUUUCAAUGAAAAACUUGAAAUUCAUUGAACGGAAGAAAGCAACAAAAUCAACUUACCACUGACUUAAGGUCAAGCAAAAACAAAGAAAAUGGAGAUAAUAAUAGAAAACAACAAUAAAGUCAACACAAACAUACAACCAACAAAUUAUGCAGUUGCACUUGGCUGUUAAAAAAUAUUUCCCCCAAUGGCCUAGCCUUUCAAAAUAUUUUGCAUUUUUUUGUAAUUUUUUUUUUCAAGCUGAGUGUCUGGGAAUUUUACAAAAAAAUAAAAAAAAAAAAAUACAAAAAUAAGCGAAGCAUUUGAAAUCGCCACACAGCUCAUCGGUCAGCUAUUGAGCACUUACAACACGCCAUUAACCCCCGAACCCUCGCCCAGCGCGCAGGCCGGCAUCAUUCGCCAUUGCACUUUAUGAGCCGCUUAGUUGUUAUUACAACGCUCUGCAGUUAGUCAUAAAUUAUUGCUUGCUGUGCAUGAAAAAGCAAUCAUUGGCGAUACGAAAUUUGCAAUAAAAAAUAAAUAAAAAUAAAAAUAUUAUGUGGAAAAUAUUACAGUUUAUUAAUAAAAAGAAAUAUAAAGUAGUUAAUAAAACAAAUUUUCCAGCUAAUAAUAAGCUGCAUUAUAAAUUACCGUCUCCACAGCUUCUCCGCCACACUAUGUGUCACUAACUGACAACUUGUCGCAUAAGUGUCACAGAAUCACAAUUUAAAUGAGUCAUUUUCAUUAAACGCAAACUUUAUCGACUUGUUGCGAGUUUAGGCGAGAGCUUAGCAUAAACAUAGCAGCUUUGAAUUCACUACUCAGCGCGGCGCUGUGUGACUCGCACUUGCUUUAGUGAUAGUCACUGUUGUUUGUUACAAGUAACAGGUUAAUUAAAGCGGAGCCUUGGCGUGAUUCUGAGGUGAAACUAAAUUCGUAAAUUAUGUCAAUCAAAUAAUUAAUUACAUAAAUUUAUAUAUUUAAAUAUAUAAUUACAGAUGUGUAACUGCGUGUGAAUGAUUUGUAAUUAGUCACGAAAUCAAUUUAAGCAUAGAAUGAGUUGUCAGCUGAGUUCACGCUGUAGAAAUGUGAGAAUUUGCUGAAUGAUAAGCUUUUCAUCAUUAUGAUUCGCACAAUUAAAAUAGUUUUUGAACUUCCCCGUGAGAAGAUACUAAAAUAUAUUUUCUUUAAAAUAAUAAAAAUCUAUCUAUAAUGCUCUCAACACCAGAACCUUCUCAGAGAUUGUUUUCUACAUAUUGAAAAAGCUUUAAAUGACAGUUCUUUUGACAGAUGACAGCUAUCACUUUUUGUAUCGAUGACAGAACUUUAAAUAGCUGAAACAUGAGCUGGUUCACACAAAAAUUGCCGCCUACUUAAUCCGAAGGAGUUAAAAGCUCGGCUAGUCAGUACGGCCAUGGGUUUGAGACUAGCAUGAAACAAUUUUUUUUAACUGAAACGUAAAUAAUCAUCUCUUAAACUUACAGACUAAGAAAGGAAGUUAUGUCGAAAUAAAAUGUAUAUAAGAAGAAAGCUUCCAUUGGCUCCCUACCUAAAGAGAAAAUAUUUAAAAAGGAUUGACUUAAAAAUAAUAUUAAUUUUAAACUUUCUGAGUCUGGUUAAAAAAUUUUCGAAAUAAGAAAGCGCGUUUCGGAUUAUUCAAUUCUUCUAAGUUGUUGCUGUUGUAUUUCUAAUUCUUCUCAAACGUAAAGAAAAAUUGAACUUUCAUUCACUUCUUUUGGAACAUUUUUCUCCCCAUCAAAUAAAACUUCAAGACUAAUUAAGGAUUAAAUCUUCUCUAUAUAAAACUUCGGAGUUCUGACUAUCUUAGAAUUUUAUAAACUUGAAUAAACCAAUUUAACCCAUUGUACUCGCUUGGGUACAGAAAAAAAAUGGUAAAAAACCCCAUUCGAUCCCAUUGUACUCACUUGUUUGGAAUAAAAAAAAAAACAAUAUUUUUUCUGUACCCAAGCGAGUACAAUGGAAUCGAAUGGGUUAAGAGCAUGAUUGCCAUUAUUCUUCCAAUUUAAUUAGGGAGAAGAAAAAGUAGGUUUUGGAAUAAUAAUGAGCUAAAGUUUUAUACCCAAAUUAGACUUUCUUCUGUAUUUCGAAAAAUUCGAAGGGUCACAUAAAUGACUUUUGCGUCUUCCCUUAAAAAUAAUUAAAAGACAAAACGCCCAACUAUUUUUGUUCUUAUUUCGCCUAAAUAUAGUUUUUUUCUUAACGCUUUCCACAAACAAUUACGCCUCGAAUUCUCCCCAAAUAUAUGUAAGUAAUAAAGACACGUUUUGUUACACACUCACAAUAUUUAUUGUGUUACGCGUUUUUUCAUGACUCCACAUUGGUAUGCGCAUGCGCGUAGCAGGAGUGAGUUGUCCGCGUGCGCAGUGCGCACAACCACUACAUCGGUUGUCAGCUGAAGCGGCAUGACUUGUCAAAGCUGUCACAAAGCCAGAAUUGUUUUUAACGGCACUUAUGGCUUCGGCAUUCGUGCGAAUUUUGGGGAACAUGAAAUUUUUUGGAUAAUUACUAUAAAAUUUACUACAAACUUUUUUUGUUGUUUUUCGCGAGAUGCGAAACAAUUGCGAUGGGCGCAUUGUCACAAAGCGCAGGGCGCAUAAAAUUUGUUGUUUUUUUAUUAUUUUUUUUGGGCCCCCAGGAAUUUUUAUAAUUCUACGCUGGACUUCUUACUCAGCGUGCGGCUAUAAUAUUUCUUUCUUUUUCCUCUUGCUGCUCAUCACGCAUAACUGCUGCUCAGCGCGGCGCGUUCAUCGCAUAAUUGCCCAAUACCGUUGCCCGAAUUUAUUAAAAAUUCAAGACGCGUAAAAAAUUGCAGAAAAUAUUUGUAAAAUAUGUGCCUCACAAAAAAAUUCAUAUCGAAAAUUCGCACGCAAGCGCUGCACAAGAAUUUCGCCAUCAAUAAAGACGCGACUCGAUUCGGCGACACGCAAGUCACUUGUGGUAGCAAAAUAGGCCGCGCCAAAACUCAAAUUAAUCGACCACGCUUCUGUUAGCUUUCAGCAAAAAAAAUAUAUAUAUUGAAAGAAAUUAUUAAGAAAGAACCGAAAAUGCGCAAGAAUUCGCAAAAAAAAAGCUCAUUAUCGAUCAGCAAAAUGUAGCACGAUCAACAGCGGACAAGCGAAGGCACUUCACGCAAGCGCUUGUCAGCGCGUUCAAGCGAUGCGUUGACAAUAAUUUUGCGCGCAUCAAUAAGUGCUACCUUUCACCCGCUCCGAAGCAGAAAAAAAAACAUAUGAAACAACCUUGCUCUUCAAGCCCCUCGCGCUCUACACCGCGUGCUCCAAAAGCACACUCUCACUCAUUAAACGCAGGCGCGCGCACUGUGUUGUUAUUGCGCGGCGGCUGCGCGUUCACCUGCACGUCCAACCAUUCGAACUGUGAAAUGUGUGAUUGUGUAAGAGUACCGUUAGAUUCGCAAAUGCGCCGUCGCGCAGGUGAGCGGCAUGUGUGUGUAUGAGUGCGCGUCAUUAAAACUUUAUUUUGACAUUUUCGUUUUUUUCUGUUUUCUGUUCGGCGUUGUCAGUUCUUUUUAUGGCAUUCGCUCUUGAAAAUUUAGAUUAAUACAGUUUGACAAUGCGCAGCUUCGGUUUGUUUGAUUUCUGCUUUUUUGCUGUUUUUUUUGUCGUUUAUUCAUCUCGCUUUAGAAUAAUAAAAAUAGUGGUUUUGUUGUUUUUGCUCAUGCUAAUGACAGUAGUCAUUAAAAUAUUUUACAUAAAACAAACAAAGCGUCACGAUAAUGAAAUGAAAAUAAAAAAUAACGAAAAAAAAAUAUUUGUUUUGGCUUUGGAGCUUAGGUUUUGUAGGUUAUUUUUUUUUAUUUCAUUGAGAUACCGUUGUCUUUUUUAUUUGAUGUGUUUUUGUUAUUUUAGUUAGAUUGUCAUUUGUUUUUGUUUAUUUUUCCUUUCGUUUGCACAGCUUGUGUGUAGUUGGUUUUUCGAGUAGAAUUUCCCAUUUGAUCUUGUAUGACUUUAUCUGGAAUUUUUCUAAACUCUAAAAAGUUGUGGGGCGCAUGCAAAAGCAAAAUAGUGUAAUACUACAAAUUUAUGUAUGAAUAUAUAGAGUUAAAAGCUUUUUAGAACUUUUCGAAGCUUUCAUUGGCAUGCCUUAGUGCUUUCAUGUGAUUUUACAAGGCAAUAAUUUAAUCGCUUUUGAUAAAAAGUUUUGUAAUCAUUUUAAAAACCUACUUUAGUUUCCAAAAUGUAUAAAAGCAUCCGCCGAUGGAGCUUUUGCUUACUAUAUGGUUGACUCAUGCAGUCAAACCAAGCAAAUCUUAAAUAUUUUUAGCUUAUUAUAGAAUAAUACUUAUUUAUGUAUAUGAAAAGCUUUAGCUAAAUAAGCUUCCAUUCGAGCGUUCACGUAGAACUUAUGCUAUAAUAAACAUAAAUUACUUCAUUCUAUUAGUUUUUUCUUGUUUCAAAGAUAAUAAUUUUACUAAAGAGCUUUAAAGCUUUCACAUAAUUUAAAAUGUUUUAAAGCAGAAAAAUUAGAAUCUUAACUGGCGUAGAAACCGCUUACGCGGUUAUAGCCGCGUAUAGUAGAAUAGUAGAUGUAUAUGGACAACAUUAAGUAUAUUUGAAAUAUUUUUUUCCACAAAACCCAGAAUUCGAAAUUUUGACAAACUUUCAUUAAACUGAUAAAACUUUUAAGUUUUUAUGGAAUUUUUUUUUAGUAUCAAUCUAUAGAAAAUGUAUUUUAGCUUAAAAAAAAUUCGUCAAUUAUAAAAGCUAUUAAAAAUUAUUUUUCACAAAAGCACUACUAUUAAGCUUUCAUGAAAGCUUUCGUUCACUUACUUCAUAUUCAAUUAAAGUGAGCGCUUCUGAACUUAAAUUUUAAUGAAGUAUCUACAAUAUAAUACCGUUAUGAGCGUGUUUAAUCACUUCGAAACAGUUAAAUAAAAAAUUAUUUAGAUUUUCUACGCAAAAGAAACUUUUAUUUUAUAUUUCAUAGGAAGCCUUAAAUUCCCGAACUCGCAAGCAGAGCGUUUUUAAAGCAUUUGCGUGACAUUGACAGAUAAAUUAUAACGCUAUAACACUUUUUGCUAUGCUUCUUCAACAACAACAAAACGAAUGUGCUUCAUUUUGUGGGGGGAGGAUUGUUGUAUGUAGAGCAACCAUGAAAAAAAUAAUGCCUAGGGAGCGUUUAAAAUGUGUUUAGUGUGUAAAAUAAAUGCUAAAAUGGCUUUUGUUUCACUUUCAAGCGUCGCUUUUUUGUAUUUCUUUAAUAUAAUAUUAUUUUGUAUGUUUGGGAGUUUUUUUCCUCUAACGACUCCACAUGACACCAGCUUGAACGCUGCUGGGGCUGAUGGCCAGCAACGGCGUAUUUUUCAACGGAAUGAGCGGUAAUGGAGCAUUUCAUUUAAAUAUUAACACGUUCGUGUGUGUCUUUGAGUCCAUUAUAUUGUUUUAUGUUUUUAAAUUUAUUUUCAAAUACUCACAUCUAACAUGUCUGCUAUAAUUAUAUGUAUCUAUUAUGUGUGCCCAGCAGUCACAAGCAAAACUCGUUAAUUAAACUUAAUUACGUAGAACUUAUAUCUGAUGUACUUGAAACUUUUGCUGGCGGCAAUCUGUGGAAUCUUUCGUAGUAAUUUGAAAAAAAAACUGAAAAAAAAACAAUUCUUUGAAAUUCGCGCAGUUAAAUUGAAGCUGUGCUGAUGAGGAGCUCUACGGUGUUUGAAAAAGUAAAAGACUUAUCAGUGCCAAGUAGCUGUGCGGUGUUGUCUUAUGAUAAUUAUUGAAAUUACUUAAAUAAAAUUAGCUAACAAAUUGUGCUUAACUGCUGAGCGAAAAACGCAUGAGACUCGCCACUUAUUAAAACGCCGCGUGCUGCCAGUGAUUUUUUUAAUUUAAUCAAUUAACUUAGUGCACUGUUUGUAGGAAAAAUAUAUAACUUGAAAGAUAUUUAAAUAAAAUAACAAAUCAUCAUUCAUAUUUCUUUAUUUUUGUUGUUGUAAUAAUCAUUUUUUUUACUUUAUUUCCCAUAUAUAAAUUCUUUCAUACCAUUUGACUGAAUUAGUAGGCGUUCAAUGACCAACUAAACAAUUUUCGAAGUCAGAAUUAAGCCAAAAUUUUUUUGAUAAAUGUGUAAAUAAAUACAAAAUAACAAUAACAACAAAAUUGAAAAAUUAAAAAAAAAGUUAAAAUUAAGGAAAAAAUAUUCUGAAUAAAUUUAUAAAUAAAAAUUUCAACUUUAACUGUUUACAUAUUUUUUUGACACACUGUAUUUUUUCAAAACCAAUUUUUUGCUAGAUAUUUUUUUUCUUUCUGUCUUCAAAUAUAUUUUUAAUUUUUGUUUUACUUUUUCCUUCACCCAUCAUUGAUCUUAUCACCUUCUUAUUAGUGGCUCUACUAUGUAGACUCGUACGUCUACUGGCCUGCCCAUCCCAUACACCACACAACCAAUUAAAUUCAAGGUUGAAAACUACAUAAUUGAAAGUGCUAAGAUGAGGGGCAAACUCAUCGAUAUAUUUUUAUGAUUAUUAUUAUAUAUUAUUUGUACUAAAAAUGGUAAAUAUUUGUAAAUAGUGAAAAUUUUAAAGGCUUGGAAAAAUGAGCUUGCUGUUUUCUCAAUUAUGAGUUCGGUGGAUUUUCAGUUUUUUUUUUAAUUUUCAUUUAUGAUUUACGGUCUUAAUAUAUUUUAGACUAAUUAAAGUCAUAUGCUAUUGUUAUUAAGAGCAGAGGAAUAGAGAAUAUUGUUUAAGUUGGUAGCUCUUUUUAAUAUGAUUUUCUAUGAAAACUUCUUCUUUAAUCCCCUUUUUAUUUAUAAUUUAAUAAAAAAGGUUCAUUAAUUCCAAACCAGAUUAUUCUUCACUUAAGCAAACAAACACUUAAAAAUACAAUCGAAAUAUUUACUAAAGUUCAGAUACUUAAACUUAAACUCGUGUUUCGAAACCACCUGAUCGUUUUACUUCCUUACUUUAAAAAAAAAUUAAACACCGGUUUCAUAAAAAAUUUUAUUUUGACUUAAAGUUUGUUAUAGUGAAAGCUUCUUAAACUCGAGUUUAUAAAUUUCUUUUUUCAUUGAAAAAUUGUUAAUUUUUAUGUCUUCUUUUGUAUAAAGACGUCUUUCUAUGGUUUUCACAAAAUCAACGUAAAAUUGUUAAUUAAACUUAGAGUUUUUUAGACAUCAGUAAAAACUUAAUUUUUCAUAAACUCGAGUUUAUGAAAUUGCUUAAUUUAUU